GAUUGAAUUAUUUAGUCAUUCGUCAACUAGAGUUUGUUAGGUUCACAGCGUUUUGGAACAAACAAUAAAGUAAAAAUUAUAAUGUUUUUCAAAAUUUAUCUGUAAAUCUUAAUUCCAAAAAAUGGCUAAAAGUGGGUUCUUCAAAUUCUCUACAAAAUUUGCCCAAUUUAACAAAACUCUAGCCCACUACACCAUACAUUAUCCGUGACACAAGUUGUUUUUUCUUGCACUCCUUCUCGUAUUUUUAAAAACAAUUCAUAUUUCUCUUACUGUGUGGCACUAAUACAAAAUUUUUACAUUUUCGGUAAUCUUAAUAUCGAUAUAAUUUCGAAACCUUAGUAGGCCCAAAUACAUGAAUUUUCCGAGAUCCAGGAAACCUUAUACUUUUUUCUACAUUCGUAGUUGGACCUUUAUAUCUAAAACAUCAGCACGUUAUUUGUGAAUUCCUUGUUACUGUUUUAUGGUCAUGGUUUAUUGAUAACUCCAAUCAACCAACGGCAACGGGUUUUUGGCGGCUUUUUAUCCACAUUCCUUGUAAGAACCUAUUUCCGUGAAGAACUCGAGCUAUAUAUACAAGAUGUGCUGUGGCGGUGGUUAUACUCUUAUUCCAAUCCGACGACCAUGCUGUGAGCCUUGUUGUGGGCCAAGUUUUGGCUCCUGUUGUGGGCCUUGUGGUCCCUGCGGUCCAUGUGGCCAUGCCCCUUGUUAUGCACCAUGUGGAUCUUGCUAUGGUAGCUGCGGUCCCUCUUGUUAACCUUAUCUUCAGAACGAAAUCGAGGAAUCUUGCAUAACUACGAAAUCAACUACUUCAGAUUGUAAAUAUAUAACUAAAUUUUAAAUAAGUAAAUGCCAAAAUAUUAAUUUUUAA